rnacentral:piRNA from 1 species
UCUUUAGGGUCUUCAAAACCNCCUUUUAAAG